GAGCUGCCAGAUCUGGAUCUGUUUGGAUCGAGUUUGCAGCGAUUGACCAUCUCAUUUUGCCCAAGAUUAAUUAGUCUGGGAGUAAAUGGACUGAAAUGCCCCCUACCAUGCCUUGAGGAAUUGAGAAUUGAUGAUUGCGAAGAGUUGACCACUAUAUCCGACAACAUGUUCCAGUCAUGCCGGUCUCUGCGGUCCCUGGAGGUGAUGAGGUGCCCCAAUCUAGUGUCAUUUUCGCUUAAUUUGCAGGAGACGCCUUCUCUCGAGGAAUUCAGCUUAUCCGGAUGUCCCAAAUUGAUCCCUCAUAGGUUCAAAGGAUUUUCUUUUGCCACCGGCUUAAGAACAUUGAGGAUCGGUCCCGUCUCCUUAAUGGAUGAUUUUCAUUGGUCUGGCUUAAUAUCUGCUUCAACACUCCGUAGCCUUCAAUUAGAAGUGUUGCCUCACAUGGAGUCCCUGCCACACCAGCUUCAAUACUUGACUACCCUCACUUCACUAAGUCUUCACAACUUUGGAGGAAUAAGAGUGCUACCGGAUUGGAUUGGAAACCUUGUGUCCCUUGAAACCCUAGAGCUAUGGGAUUGCGACAAGCUUCAGUCUUUACCACCCGAGGCUGCCAUGAGACGACUCACAAAGUUAACUCGUGUCAAAGUUUAUGGGUGUCCUCUGUUAAGACAACGAUACACUCCCCAAAGAGGCAUCUACUUGGAGGAGUAGAUUUCAAGUUAUUUUACAAGCAGUGACAGCAAACAAGAAGGCAAUAAUGGUGCCCAAACAUCAGUUUCAUGUUGUUUCCCAUCCUUGCUGAAGAAGGAGAAACCAGGAGAGUCUUAGAAAGCAGAAUCAUGUUGCUGGGACAAAGACACCACCCUUUGCUGUUGCAUUUCUUACAAGAUUGCCAGGGGGCAGAAGUUAUUUUCACUGACUAGACAGGUUUGAAGAUGAAGUUAGUAAUCAAUGAUGAGAAUUUUGCACAUCAGAGAGCGCUAGCUUUGAUGGAGGCUUCACCAGUAGGUGGUUCUCCCCAGGUUUCCCAAACACAAGCUUUUACUCAUCUCCUGCUCGGGCUGCAGAAAGAAAGUGAGCUGGAUUACUGUAUUGUAACCUUACAGAUGAAAAAUGCAAGGAAUGAUGGCGCUCAAACAUCAGCUUCAUGUUGUUCUCCAUUGCUGCUGAAGAAGAAGAGCUCAGGAGGUAUGUGGUGCACAAAAGUGAUAAUGCAGCACUUCUCUCCCCAAGAACUCUAAGUUUGCAUUCUAAUAUGCUUGAGUCAUGUAAUUGGCAUGAAAACAGGGUGUUUUUCUGCACUGUUAUUUGUUGUUGAAUGUUUACCCUAUGCCACAUAGCUUAUCUUUUGCUCUUUAAGAUUUUUAUGUUUACUUGGUGCUCAACAUGUGCUAUGAUUGUGAAAGAAUCUGGUUUAUUCCAUUUUCUUGUACUAGUUACCAGGCCAUACCGUUUCUUUGCUUUCCUUGUUGGUCAUGAUUGAAGCUGUACUAAAUGUAACGUAUGAUGUUUAUUCCGGAGUCUUAGGAAGCAGACCUCAUGUUAGUGGACAAAAGACACCACCGUUUGCCGUUGCAUUUCUUACUAGAAUGCCAAGGGACAGAAGUUAUUUUCAUUCACGAGACGGGGUUUGAAGAUGAAGGCAGUAGUUAUCAAUGAUGUUAAUUUAGCUCAUUAGAUAGCAUUAGCUUUGAUGGAUGUUUCACAAAUAGUUGGUUCUCCCCAGGUUUCUCAAACAUAAGUUUUUCGGUUUCUCCUGGUCAAAAUGCAGAAAGGAAGGCAAUGAUUUAGCUUGUAUGUCUUCAGGGCAGUUUUUAUAGUUUCUGAUCUACUUUCUUGAUAUGUAUUUAGUAAAUCUAUUACCAAAACUUUUUUUCU